rnacentral:rRNA from 1 species
CAGUAGCCGCGGUAAAACGAAGGGGGCUAGCAUUGUUCGGAAUCACUGGGCGUAAAGCGCACGUAGGCGGACACUUAAGUCAGAGGUGAAAUCCCAAGGCUCAACCUUGGAACUGCCUUUGAUACUGGGUGUCUUGAGUUCGGGAGAGGUGAGUGGAACUGCGAGUGUAGAGGUGAAAUUCGUAGAUAUUCGCAAGAACACCAGUGGCGAAGGCGGCCCCCUGGACAAAGACUGACGCUCAGGUGCGAAAGCGUGGGGAGCAAACAGGAUUAGAUACCCGCGUAGUCCCUGUCUCUUAUAC